ACAGGGACCAAGGAGUCUAGAAUGCGCGCGAGUCAAAGGGUUGGCUAAACCCCAAGGCGAAACGAAAGUGAAAACUUUUCCAGUGGGCCGAUCCGGUUCGCGUCGGAAAGGUCGAUUGCGGCGUCGGGAGGUCGGGUACGUGAAAGCGUGAAAGCGGCGGUGGGGGCUCCGUGGUCGUCGUCGUCGAGCGCGGAAGCUCUCUUCCUCCCCGUCCCUCGGUUUUUUUCUUUCCCCGCGAUUCGUCUCCCCGAUAUGAGGACGGCGCAGGCCCGGGGCUCGCCAAUGCUUCCUCCCCGUCGCUAAGGCUCGGUCGUUCGCAUUUCUCGUUCGUCGGUGCGCGACGAGUCCUUCCUCCGGGCCGGGAUGCGGUCGGGGGUGACGGUGGUUUCUUCUUUCCUACUCUGUAGGGGAGGGGAGAUCCCUGUUAAUCCUUCGCCGCUACCGCAGAUCCGCGAGAGAGGGGUUCUCUCGGCGCGUUAUCGCUUUCGAGGCGGCGAUCCGCCGGCGCGGGACGAGCGGCGGGUCCUCUGAGCGCGUAUUCUGGUACCCGAAAGAUGGUGAUCUAUGCCUGGCCAGGAUGAAGCCAGAGGAAACUCUGGUGGAGGUCCGUAGCGAUUCUGACGUGCAAAUCGAUCGUCGGAGCUGGGUA
rnacentral:rRNA from 1 species